AUUGAACGCUGGCGGCAGGCUUAACACAUGCAAGUCGAGCGGGCGAGGUUGCUUCGGUAACUGAGCUAGCGGCGGACGGGUGAGUAAUGCUUAGGAAUCUGCCUAUUAGUGGGGGACAACAUUCCGAAAGGGAUGCUAAUACCGCAUACGUCCUACGGGAGAAAGCAGGGGCUCUUUAUGACCUUGCGCUAAUAGAUGAGCCUAAGUCGGAUUAGCUAGUUGGUGGGGUAAAGGCCUACCAAGGCGACGAUCUGUAGCGGGUCUGAGAGGAUGACCCGCCAGACUGGGACUGAGACACGGCCCAGACUCCUACGGGAGGCAGCAGUGGGGAAUAUUGGACAAUGGGGGGAACCCUGAUCCAGCCAUGCCGCGUGUGUGAAGAAGGCCUUUUGGUUGUAAAGCACUUUAAGCGAGGAGGAGGCUUACCUGGUUAAUACCUGGGAUAAGUGGACGUUACUCGCAGAAUAAGCACCGGCUAACUCUGUGCCAGCCGCCGCAGUAAGAC
rnacentral:rRNA from 1 species